rnacentral:rRNA from 1 species
CAGUCGCCACGGUAAUACGUAGGCAGCGAGCGUUGUUCGGAAUUACUGGGCGUAAAGAGUGUGUAGGCGGUGCUCUAAGUUCGGUGUGAAAUCUCCUGGCUUAACUGGGAGGGUGCGCCGGAAACUGGAAUGCUCGAGCGUGGGAUAGGAAAGCGGAAUUCCUGGUGUAGCGGUGAAAUGCGUAGAUAUCAGGAGGAACACCUGUGGUGUAGACGGCUUUCUGGACCAUUGCUGACGCUGAGACACGAAAGCGUGGGUAGCAAACAGGAUUAGAUACCCCCGUAGUCCCUGUCUCUUAUAC